AAGACGGGCGGCGGUCGUAGGGGAAGGAAGGCCGGCGGCGAGCCUUGUUUCAGAGAGAAAAGGCGAAGAGAGAGAGAGGGGAAAGGAGGGAGGCGGCGCCGGUGGAGUUAAGGGUUUCUAGGAGAAAGGGGAAGUGGUGUUAGGUGAAGGGAGAGAGAACCAGACAAGGAGAAAAGGGGGAAAGCUCACCGGAUUCAGGGGGACGGUGAGAAGAGGGGGAGAUUGGCGUCGCGGUGGAGGCGCGAGGUUGGUGGUGGCGGCGGCAGGAGGAAGAGGGCGGCGGCCGGUGGGAGGAAGACUAGAGAGAGAGAGAGAGAGAGAGAGCAGAGGGGG
rnacentral:lncRNA from 1 species